GGCUGAGGAGAGGGAAAGGAUUGUUCUGUGGGGCUGAGGAAAGGAUUGUUCUGUGGGGCUGAGGAGAGGAAAGGAUUGUUCUGUGGGGCUGAGGAGGGGAAAGGAUUGUUCUGUGGGGCUGAGGAGAGGAAAGGAUUGUUCUGUGGGACUGAGGAGAGGAAAGGAUUGUUCUGUGGGACUGAGGAGAGGAAAGGAUUGUUCUGUGGGACUGAGGAAAGGAUUGUUCUGUGGGGCUGAGGAGGGGAAAGGAUUGUUCUGUGGGGCUGAGGAGAGGAAAGGAUUGAAAGGGACUGAGGAGGGAAAGGAUUGUUCUGUGGGACUGGGGAAAGGAUUGAGAGGGACUGAGGAGGGGAAAGGAUUGUUCUGUGGGACUGAGGAGGGGAAAGGAUUGUUCUGUGGGACUGAGGAGGGGAAAGGAUUGAAAGGGACUGAGGAGAGGAAAGGAUUGUUCUGUGGGACUGAGGAAAGGAUUGUUCUGUGGGACUGAGGAGAGGAAAGGAUUGAAAGGGACUGAGGAGGGGAAAGGGAUUGUUCUGUGGGGCUGAGGAGAGGAAAGGAUUGUUCUGUGGGACUGAGGAGAGGGAAAGGAUUGUUCUGUGGGGCUGAGGAGGGGAAAGGAUUGUUCUGUGGGGCUGAGCUGUGAGGAGAACUGCUAACACCUUAUAUGAAGCUCAGAGUUAUAUAUGUGUGUGUGUAUGUUACUGACAUAUAUUAUGAAAAAUCCCUUUGCCAGGAUUUUUCUUCUGAGAAGCCUCAGAAAAGAAAUGUAAACAAUAAUUAUCUGAUUGCUUAGAUUGUAGUUUGGAGGUUGCUCACCAACAGGGGCAUCUUUGAUUGGUUCAGUGUUAACUGUUUUUAAUUAAUGCCCAAUCCCAGUCCAGCUGUGUUGGGACUCUGGUCAGUCAUAGGGUUUUUAUUGUCAUUUCUUGUCUAGCUUCUGAUGCCUCCUUUCUCUUUCUUUAGUGUAGUUUUGGUAUACCAUUUUCAUAUAUAAAACACAAUAUAACAUAAUAUAGUGUAAUAUAGUAUAACAUAAUGUAACAAUAUAACAUAAUAUAACAUAAUACAAUAUAGCAUAAUAUAACACAAUAUAGCAUAACAUAAUAUAUUAUAAUGUAAUAUAAUAUAAUAUAAUAUAAUAUAAUAUAAUAUAAUAUAAUAUAAUAUAAUAUAAUAUAAUAUAUCAGCCUUCUGAGAACUUGGAGUCAAUUCCCAUCUCUCACCUCGUCCUGAGGAUUUCACAACACCUCAACAAUUAAUAGCCACAUGUGUAUAUAUAUAUUUAUAUGUAUAUAUAUAU
rnacentral:lncRNA from 1 species